AAACACAGAACAUCUAAAUAUGCUUAUGCUCGGGUAAGAACCCUAGCCCCCUUCUCCCAGCCCAUCUUCUCUCGAUUCCCUUCCCCCAUCGCAUCUUACUUUCACCACUCAGAGAUAACACAUCUUUUCAGAAACUUUACUCAUCCCAUUCUCACUGCUCUUCUACUAAUUGAAACUCAGAGGUUGAAAAGGUUGGAGCUUAAUUGAUAUUCAAAACUGCAGUCGGAGGUUCCAAAGAUCGAAAUUUUAAGUGGGUAAGCUUUAAUCAGUAGUUAAAUACCAAGUUUUAGUUACCGUUUGUUGUUGUAGAAGCUUAAGAUUGUUGUGUGAUGGCUUUGAUUUUGAGGUACAAGAAGGGGAAGAUCAUUUAAGGAAAGAGAUUUCUUUUACUGGAACCUAACAGAAAUAAAAGGUCUUUGAAAAGACUAUGUCUGCUGAUGGAGUUGAUUUUCCUACAUCUUGCUUUAGGUGCACACACUGCAAAGGCAUCCUUAAGGACUCAGAUUUCAAAGAAACAACAAAGAAGAAGAAUUAAUUUAAAUCAGUGUUGGAUCGUGAUUCGAAUGGAGCCUACUUCUUUUCAAACAAGGCCUAUAGAAAUUGAUUGGGACAAAUUUGUAAAAAGAAUCCACUCCAGGAGGACACCUACAAAUAUUAACACUCUUUGCUAUGGAGACACCUGUUAGCCUGGAUGCUGUAUACGAAAUGAAAAGAUAUUUAUCCAAACAGAAUACCCUCUUGAUUUACCAUCUGGAAGUUUGAGAAGUUACUGUAUCUAUGAAAAUAACAUGGCCGUGCCAUUGUUCUUGUCCGAGAUAGCACCGACCAGAAUUAGAGGACUAAACAUAUUGUUUCAGCUCAACGUUACAAUUGGCAUUCUUUUUGCUAAUCUUGUUAGUUACUUCACUGGUAAGUUCAAGUGAUUGACAGUUUGUGUAGAACUCCUCAGAAAGAUAGCAGAAGUGAGUUACUUAGACGAGUUGCUGCAGGUGGUGGUGCAUUAAAAGUCUUGGAUGGCACAAAAGUUCAUCUUCUGGGAGCAAAUCUGAACAACAUAUAUAGCUUUGAUUAUUUACUUUAGAGGCUUUAAUUAUGUACUUGAUAUUUAGAUUAGAUGGAUGUGUAGUAGUUGAUCGAUAUUAUAUUUGAUGGAUGUGUAGUCGAUGAAAUUGGAAUGUGAUGGAUGUAUGUACAAUUGGUUUAUAUAUGCAUCAAUAAGAUUUUGCUGUUGAUUUGGUA